UUGCCUGAAAUGAUGAUUAUGCAUUCAUGUCUCUUCUCUGAAAUAUUCCAUGAAGUCACUGGAUCCAUUUCUGAUCAGGUUC